UCAGUUUACAGAGAAACAGCUGAUUUAGAUAGAUCGGGAAUAGAGAGACUCUAGUCUUUAAAAAAUUGUUUUCUUAUAACAAUUAUUAUAUCAAAUCAUGGAACAUCAGUUUCGCUGAUAUAAUAACAAACAAGGGUGAAGUAAUAAUUAAAAUAAUUAAUAAAGGAAGAAAAGAAAAAAGGAGCUGAUAAAUAUAAAAGAAGUUUAAAGCAUAUCAAGAAAUCGAAUAAAAUAAAAUAAGCAGACCUGACAUUUUGCCCAAUUGAGAACAGCCUGCCAUACAUCUUCUUCCAAACUGAGAUAAUCUGAUGAUAUUAAUUUUACCAAAGCAUCCUUUGGAAGAUUACAAAAUGCCGUUGUCUUUACAGUAUCCACAGUUUUCUCUGAUAAAAGCAAAGCAUUUCUCAAUAAAAGAUAAACAUGCAGUUUUCCCACCUGAAACAAAUAAUGUUUACCUACAAAUCAUUCUUACAAAUAUGACUCAAAAUUAAAGUUUAAAGUUUUAAAAGUU